rnacentral:rRNA from 1 species
UACAUGGGGUGCAAACGUUGCUCGGAAUUAUUGGGCGUAAAGCGCGCGUAGGCGGUUACUCAAGUCGGAUGUGAAAGCCCUCGGCUUAACUGAGGAAGUGCACCCGAAACUGAGUAGCUAGAGUACUAAAGAGGGUCGCGGAAUUCCCGGUGUAGAGGUGAAAUUCGUAGAUAUCGGGAGGAACACCGGGUGGCGAAGGCGGCGACCUGGGUAGAUACUGACGCUGAGGCGGCGAAAGCGUGGGGAGCAAACAGGG